AGAGUUUGAUCAUGGCUCAGAACGUACGCUGGCGGCACGCCUAACACAUGCAAGUCGAACGCAGUAGCAAUACUGAGUGGCAAACGGGUGAGUAUAAUGUGGGAAUCUGCCUUUUGGUUUGGAAUAACACGGGGAAACUUGUGCUAAUACCGAAUAAGCCCUUACGGGGAAAGUUUUAAUGCCGAAAGAUGAGCCCGCACUUGAUUAGCUAGUUGGUAAGGUAAAAGCUUACCAAGGCAACGAUCAAUAGCUGUUCUUAGAGGAAGACCAGCCACAUUGGGACUGAGACACGGCCCAGACUCCUACGGGAGGCAGCAGUGGGGAAUCUUGCACAAUGGGGGAAACCCUGAUGCAGCGAUGCCGCGUGAGUGAAGAAGGCCUUUGGGUUGUAAAACUCUUUCGUCGGGGAAGAAAAUGACUGUACCCGAAUAAGAAGGUCCGGCUAACUUCGUGCCAGCAGCCGCGGUAAUACGAAGGGACCUAGCGUAGUUCGGAAUUACUGGGCUUAAAGAGCUCGUAGGUGGUUAAAAAAGUUGAUGGUGAAAUCCCAAGGCUCAACCUUGGAACUGCCAUCAAAACUUUUUAGCUAGAGUGUGAUAGAGGUAAGUGGAAUUUCUAGUGUAGAGGUGAAAUUCGUAGAUAUUAGAAAGAACACCAAAUGCGAAGGCAACUUACUGGGUCACUACUGACACUGAGGAGCGAAAGCAUGGGUAGCGAAGAGGAUUAGAUACCCUCGUAGUCCAUGCCGUAAACGAUGUGUGCUAGACGUUGGAAAUAUAUUUUUCAGUGUCGCAGCGAAAGCAUUAAGCACACCGCCUGGGGAGUACGACCGCAAGGUUAAAACUCAAAUGAAUUGACGGGACCCGCACAAGCAGUGGAGCAUGUG
rnacentral:rRNA from 1 species